UAGAACUAAGUAUUUAUAAUAUAUACACCUUGAAAGUGUAAGCAGGGGAGCCAGCUCUAG
rnacentral:tRNA from 1 species